UGGGGAAUAUUGCACAAUGGGCGCAAGCCUGAUGCAGCCAUGCCGCGUGUGUGAAGAAGGCCUUCGGGUUGUAAAGCACUUUCAGCGAGGAGGAAGGUGGUGAACUUAAUACGUUCAUCAAUUGACGUUACUCGCAGAAGAAGCACCGGCUAACUCCGUGCCAGCAGCCGCGGUAAUACGGAGGGUGCAAGCGUUAAUCGGAAUUACUGGGCGUAAAGCGCACGCAGGCGGUUUGUUAAGUCAGAUGUGAAAUCCCCGGGCUCAACCUGGGAACUGCAUUUGAAACUGGCAAGCUAGAGUCUCGUAGAGGGGGGUAGAAUUCCAGGUGUAGCGGUGAAAUGCGUAGAGAUCUGGAGGAAUACCGGUGGCGAAGGCGGCCCCCUGGACGAAGACUGACGCUCAGGU
rnacentral:rRNA from 1 species